rnacentral:rRNA from 1 species
AUUGAACGCUGGCGGCGUGCCUAACACAUGCAAGUCGAGCGGCAGCACUGGAGCAAUCCUGGUGGCGAGCGGCGGACGGGUGAGUAAUGCUUUGGAAUCUGCCCAUCAAUGGGGGACAACCCGGGGAAACUCGGGCUAAUACCGCAUACGUCCUACGGGAGAAAGCGGGGGAUCGCAAGACCUCGCGUUGAUGGAUGAGCCAAAGUCGGAUUAGCUAGUAGGUGGGGUAAUGGCCCACCAAGGCGACGAUCCGUAGCUGGUCUGAGAGGACGACCAGCCACACCGGAACUGAGACACGGUCCGGACUCCUACGGGAGGCAGCAGUGGGGAAUAUUGGACAAUGGGGGAAACCCUGAUCCAGCGACGCCGCGUGGGUGAAGAAGGCCUGCGGGUUGUAAAGCCCUUUCGUUGGGGAAGAAAAGUUGCUACCUAACACGUAGCGACCUUGACGUUACCCAAAGAAGAAGCACCGGCUAACU